UACAUGGGGUGCAAGCGUUGCUCGGAAUUAUUGGGCGUAAAGCGCGCGUAGGCGGUUACUUAAGUCGGAUGUGAAAGCCCUCGGCUUAACUGAGGAAGUGCACCCGAAACUGAGUAGCUGGAGUACGAAAGAGGGUCGCGGAAUUCCCGGUGUAGAGGUGAAAUUCGUAGAUAUCGGGAGGAACACCGGUGGCGAAGGCGGCGACCUGGGUCGAGACUGACGCUGAGGCGCGAAAGCGUGGGGAGCAAACAGG
rnacentral:rRNA from 1 species